rnacentral:rRNA from 1 species
UUGACGGGGAGCACCACAACGGGUGAGCUUGCGGUUUAAUUGGAUUCAACGCCGGAAAUCUUACCGGGACCGACAGCAAUAUGAAGGCCAGGCUGAAGACUUUGCCGGAUUAGCUGAGAGGUGGUGCAUGGCCGUCGUCAGUUCGUACUGUGAAGCAUCCUGUUAAGUCAGGCAACGAGCGAGACCCACGCCCACAGUUGCCAGCGUACUCUCUGGAGUGACGGGUACACUGUGGGACCGCCGCUGCUAAAGCGGAGGAAGGAAUGGGCAACGGUAGGUCAGUAUGCCCCGAAUAUCCCGGGCUACACGCGAGCUACAAUGGUUGGUACAAUGGGUAUCUACCCCGAAAGGGGACGGGAAUCUCCUAAAACCAAUCUUAGUUCGGAUUGAGGGCUGCAACUCGCCCUCAUGAAGCUGGAAUCCGUAGUAAUCGCGUUUCAACAGAACGCGGUGAAUACGUCCCUGCUCCUU